GCCCUUGUAGCUCAGCGGUAGAGCGCAGCACUCGUACAAAUGUACACAAUUAUGCUGAGGUCAGUCGUUCAAUCCGGCUCGGGGGCA